ACAGGCCCGCAAGGGUGCUGACGAGUGGCGGACGGGUGAGGAAUACAUCGGAAUUUGCCCAGUCGUGGGGGAUAACGUAGGGAAACUUACGCUAAUACCGCAUACGACCUAACGGUGAAAGCGGGGGAUCGCAAGACCUCGCGCGGAUGGAUAAGCCGAUGUCGGAUUAGCUAGUUGGCGGGGUAAAGGCCCACCAAGGCGACGAUCCGUAGCUGGUCUGAGAGGAUGAUCAGCCACACUGGGACUGAGACACGGCCCAGACUCCUACGGGAGGCAGCAGUGGGGAAUAUUGGACAAUGGGGGCAACCCUGAUCCAGCAAUGCCGCGUGUGUGAAGAAGGCCUUCGGG
rnacentral:rRNA from 1 species